CUAAGAAUAUUCCGCAAUGGACGGAAGUCUGACGGAGCGACGCCGCGUGGAUGAAGAAGGCCGAAAGGUUGUAAAGUUCUUUUGCUGGGGAAGAAUAACCGCAGGAGGGAAUGCCUGUGGGAUGACAAGAACCGGCGAAUAAGCCCCGGCCAACUACGUGCCAGCAGCCGCGGUAACACGUAGGGGGCGAGCGUUGUUCGGAAUUACUGGGCGUAAAGGGCAUGUAGGCGGCUUGGAAAGCCUGGCGUGAAAGUCUGCAGCUUAACUGCAGGGGUGCGCUGGGAACUGCUGAGCUUGAGUGACGGAGAGGGAGCUGGAAUUCCUGGUGUAGGGGUGAAAUCUGUAGAUAUCGGGAAGAACACCGAUGGCGAAGGCAAGCUCCUGGCCGAUGACUGACGCUGAGGUGCGAAAGUGUGGGGAUCAAACAGGAUUAGAUACCCUGGUAGUCCACACAGUCAACGAUGUGCACUAGGUGCUGGGGCGGUAGCUUCGGGUGCCGGAGCGAACGUGGUAAGUGCACCGCCUGGGGGAGUAUGCUCGCAAGGGGUGAAACUCAAUGAAUUGACGGGGUCUAGCUG
rnacentral:rRNA from 1 species